AAUUAGUUCUUUCAUCUAUUUAUAUUAUUAAAAACUAUUGUGGUUGAUGGAAUAAUUAGAUAAUGACAUGUGAUGUGCGAUAUGUACCUCAUGUUGAGGUAUAAAGACUAAUUUUUAAUAGCAUAAUUAGAUAGAAUUUUUAAAA
rnacentral:pre_miRNA from 1 species